rnacentral:lncRNA from 10 species
AGAUCAGCCCUGGGGUUCAGAGGGAUCCUGACAGCUACUCCUCAAGAUCCUCUCUGUUGUGAUUCAUCCCCCCGGGGCCCUACAGUUUCUCCUUCCUGACUCUUACAUUUCUUUGGAUGGCAUCAUUAUUCCUGUGGCUGGCUGACAGCAGAGAGAGAUGCUCAACUUGGAGAAGGUGUUACCUGGGCCAGGUGGGGAAGGUUUGUUUGCAGAGCAAAGAAGUGAAGCGGAACCAACCCCUCCUCUUCUUCCUCCCCCUCAGCCUAUUCAACGUGAAAAAGAUGAGGAUGAAGACCUUUAUUAUGAUCCACUUCCAAGUAAUGAACACACUGGAGAAAGUCAGACAGUCAAAACAAUGUCCCAGACUCCGUGAAGUUCCUGGGUAGAGAAGGAGACAGACAUAUACCAUACCUAAUAAUUGGAUGUCCGAGAGAAUGAGAGAAUGGCAGAAAGAACUUUAGAGCAUGGGUAUGAUGGCUAGAGCUUGAGCAGCCAUUGUGGACAUCAGAUGAACUUGAAAGUGAAAACUAUGAGCUGAAUACGACAAAGCAAACAGAUAGAAAACUGGAUUCAUUAUGACAUUGCAAAGCUGCCAGACCAGCUCUAGUCUGCUUCCCCCUAAUCUUCCUUACUAAGAGAGAGAAAUAAACUUCCAUCUUCUUCAA